CACAGAAGUAGAAAGUGGAAAACAAAUAUGGCGGUUAACAGGGGUGGGUUUUGGGGUAAUGUGGCAGUAGUACUAAUAGUAAGCUUGAUCUUCGUCUCUAUUACUUGUAGUAGUACCGCAGAAGCUAGAGACAUUCCUCAUCAUGAAGUGGUUAAAUCUUCUUCCUUGCCCGUUAAUGAUAACAAGAUAUUUUUUCCAUUUCCGUUUCCACUGCCUACACUGCCUCCAUUCCCAUUCCCAUUCCCAUUUCCAUUCCCUCCAAUAUUUACCCGCCCUCCACCACCACCACCACCUCCACGAUAUCCUCCACCACCGCCUCCUUCACCUCCUCCGCCUCUACCACCACCUCCACCGCCACCGCCAUCCCCAAAACCACCUACACCAUCCCCGAAACCACCUACACCAUCACCAGCUCUACCCUAAGUUUAACUAUACUACUACGUUCUUGUUAUAGUUAUAAUAUAGCUAGAAGAAAAAUAAAAUUGCCGCGAGAAUAAAAAUUCUUGUCUCGGCAACUUGCUGCGCACAGCCGUUCAGCCUUAUUACAUACGUGGGAAACCGGAUUGCGAAUAAAAGGAAGAAACAUAGACUUCAUGUUCUGCAGCUACCUAUUUUGCAAUCUAUAUAUAUAUAUUUAUGAUGAUAGUAAUGGCUUGAUAUUUAUGCCUUAUAAUAAGGCAAUAAGUAAAACUUUAAUAAAUUAAUAAAUCAUCUUAUUUA